GAUGAACGCUGGCGGCGUGCCUAAUACAUGCAAGUCGAGCGAACAGACGCGGAGCUUUCUCCUCUGACGUUAGCGGCGGACGGGUGAGUAACACGUGGAUAACCUACCUAUAAGACUGGGAUAACUUCGGGAAACCGGAGCUAAUACCGGAUAAUAUAUUGAACCGCAUGGUUCAAUAGUGAAAGACGGUUUUGCUGUCACUUAUAGAUGGAUCCGCGCCGCAUUAGCUAGUUGGUAAGGUAACGGCUUACCAAGGCGACGAUGCGUAGCCGACCUGAGAGGGUGGUCGGCCACACUGGAACUGAGACACGGUCCAGACUCCUACGGGAGGCAGCAGUAGGGAAUCUUCCGCAAUGGGCGAAAGCCUGACGGAGCAACGCCGCGUGAGUGAUGAAGGUCUUCGGAUCGUAAAACUCUGUUAUUAGGGAAGAACAAAUGUGUAAGUAACUAUGCACGUCUUGACGGUACCUAAUCAGAAAGCCACGGCUAACUACGUG
rnacentral:rRNA from 1 species